GGUCUCAGCUCCACCCAGCCCCCUGGCCAGGGAUACCUUUGCAUUCAGGAUUGAACAGGACUGGCUGGGGUCCCUGUUUGAGCUCAAAUCCAUCAUUGCUCAGCCAGGGGUUUGUUUAUCUCUAGGCUGGUCGAGUUUGGGGGUCUGUUAUGGCCAAAAUUAUCUUUAUGGCUACAGAUCAGCUGCAGCUGUGACAAUUCCCCCUUUCUCUUUUAUAAAAAAAAUGCAAAGUGUUCUUUGUCAUCCUCUGUAGGUGCUUUGCAGACUGGAUGACAAAGACAACAUGACAGGGUAAAAACAGCCUAGAAAAUUAUUAACUAAAAUCCUUAAAUAUUACACAGUAUUAUAUUGAAACUUUGUGGCACAUUUGAAAAGAAAAGAGCCCAGUAUUGUCCAUCAUAGCAUGAGGACUAAAGCUGUUGAAGGUACAUAGAAACCAACAUCAGGAUGGGUGCUCGCCUUUAAGGUGUGUCCUCAUAGAGCUGAAGGAUGCUCCUCUUAGGAAACAGCUGCUCUUGAGAAGGUAAAUAGUUCAGAACCUCAACGAUCAUUUUUCACCACAAUGGGAGUCCUAAAGGGAACAACCUGCAGUGAGGUGGCCUGGAAAGCCCUGGGGACCAGGCUGAGCCAGACCACCAAGGGAAACAGCCUUGAACUGUGAGGUUUGAUGGGAGGAGAGGGUGGCUGGAACAGCACAGACACAGGAAUCAGCACCUGUGAACAAGGAUCAAUGGAGAACCUUCCUACCACAGAGAUAACAAUGAGGGAGAGGGAUCAUGAAAUAUCCUGAUUAGGAAGGGAUCCACAAGGAUUGAGUCCAGCUCCUGGCCCUGCACAGGACACCCCAACAAUCCCAUCCCAUCCUUGAGAGCCUUGUCCAAGCUCGUGCUUCACAGAAGGCAAACACAUGUCCACUAACAGUCCUCACAGACUUAUUGUCCACGUGUUCCUGUAGCAAAUCCAAGCAGGGACAGUAAUUAUCACUUUCCAAUAGUAUGGAUAGUAUUAAAAUUUAUAAAGACGUGUAAAAAAACCAGAAUUUGAAUUAAGAGCAUUCUCAGAAACCAGUAGGAAAUACCAUCUGACUAAAGCAGUAACAGAACUCCAAGCAACGUUUUCCUCACAAACUCAAAGUUAAAUAAAACCACAACACUAAAAAAACUUGAAAAUGAGCAUCAACACUAGAGGAAAAGUGUUGGGGUUUUUGCCUUUUUUUGAAAAAACUACAUGUGUACCAAAUGCACCAGUACAAAUACCGAUAUGAAACAACGACCUCGGAGAGCCGGUGUGGACCAAAUGGGCAAUGCUGGAGUGAUCCCAUUUCCAUGGGUAUAAGAUCUGUGAAGAUGUGAGAGCCAGGGAGAGACUGUGUAAUAAUUUUAUUGUCACUGCAUACUUUUAUCAGACUGAAGGAGUGGUUAUUAUAAGCUUGUAUUGCUCUCAUUUUAUGAUGGCUGUCGCCAGGAAGGAGGUAAUAGUUCGCAGAUAAGGACAUCUCGGAACAGACUUGAAAGACAAGGAACAAAGCCAUUACCUUGGAGUAUCCUGUCUUUAACAACACUGUUUUGCCAAUCCAGGAAAAUAAAAGAUAAAAGGACUAUAAACAGUUAAAAAGUAACCUGAUCCCUGUGAACAGAGGCAAGUGGUUAUGAUCAAAAGCCAAGGCAGGAUUUAAAGCUACACUCCCUGAGCAGCAAGAGAGAACUGGUUUGAGUUGCACAAGGCAAUUACACCAUCCCUGAGAUCCCAGGAUUUCUGCAGGAAGCUGGGACCUGCGAGGAUCCCCAGGGAGGAACUCAGCAGGUGAGGAACUCAGCAAAGCCAGGCCUACACCCAGCUUUUCCUACCUGGUCUGGUUGGAAAUCAAACACCUGUCUUCAAAGAAGGCGGCUAAUGGCUGUGAAUUACUGGCCAGGAAGCAAAGCACAGAUGGUCAAUGGAAGUUGAACUUCCUGAACUAGUCAGAGGGAAUCACACCCCUAGAUCCAGCAGGGAAGAAGGCUCGACAUACAGAGACUCUACCUGGGGCAGGGACCCACAGGCUGUGCACUCCAAAACCGAGCAGUUCAGGACAACUUUUAUUUGGCAUCCUUGAAUAAAGUGUGUAAAUGCCAGCAAAGUCAUGUGACCAGUUCCAAAGAAACAACGUGGUGAGUAGGGCAGAGGUGAAAUGGAAAUCCCCUCCCAAAUUUAGUCCUUGUGGCCUGGAUUCUUCAGGAAAAGAGAACAGGCAGCAAGCUCCAAAACUGGGAUUUCCCCAGUCCAGUGUGUCUGAGGUUUCUUAUGGUCUUCACAGGAAACAGUGACCUGGAACUGUCCAAUCCAUAGGUAAUGGGGAUGCCUGGACUGUCUGGGACAGAGGGAUACUGGCUGGAGGCUGAGGGAUACUGGUGGUUUCAAGAAUAGGAUUAUAGGGAAUGCACAAAUGAGUAUGUCCAUCAAAGUUUGAAAUCCCAUUGCCUUAAUGCCACCUGCUGCAAACAGUGCAGCUGCCCUUCUCCACGAGUCCUGUGUUCCUGCAGGAACAGAAGACAGGCUGGAAACACUGAUUGGUGGCAAAAGGUCCCUUCCACCAUGAGAGUGGAAAACCUUGUAGAGACCUCCACCUCAAUGCCCACAGGGACCACCUCCAACACUGGCUCACCUGAAAAAUGACACCACAAUGAUGGAGAACACCCCUGCUGGGGAUGUGCCCAGCACCCCACCAUGUUCCCAGGGAAUGCUCUUUUCCCUUGCACACUGUGAACCUCCCAAGCUGCACUCUGGGGCCGUCACCUCUUGUUCUGUCCUGUGUCACUGCCAGGAGUUUUACUCCACGCCCUUUGUGAAUGCCCUGCCAGCAGCAGGAGGCAGAUCACCCUUCAGCUUCCCCUGCUCUGACUGAAUGAGCCUCACUCAUUCUCUGACUCCUGUGCCUCUCGACAGCUCUCCACUGGUUCACCCCAGCUCCUCACAGAGCUGAACAGCUGCCUGAGUGUGUAAAAACUGUGGUUGUUACGUCAAACAGAGCAUUUUAGAGAGAAGGACUGACCACAAAGACAAAUCCACAAUGGACGGGACCUCCAGACUCCUAAAUAUCUUCCCUGAGGAAUUAGAGCCACCACAUUAUAAACUACCUGAGUCAGCAUUUACGGUUCCUGCUACCUCUGAUGUUUGGGCUGUAUUCCCUCUCCAAUUCCAUGAUGUGAAAGGCAUAAAGAAAGGGGAUCUGGUUCAUACUCUGAUCUGCCUGGGGGCUGUCAAGGCCAGGAAGGAGGAUUAGCUGGAGUCUGACUCACUCACUGUUCUGCACAGGAAUUACCAAGGGAACAGUAAGGCAAGAGGAGAGUGGGGAGAGCCGGUGAUGAAACACUCACUUGUAGUUGUUGUUGAUGUCAGAGACUCGCCAGGCGUUCUGCAGGUCGAAGCCCAUCCUCACCAGCUCCAUCUCAAACCGGAACCUCACGUGGUCCCCUGAGGAACAGAGCACAGGGAGUUACUGAGAGCACGGAGGAAAUAUGAACUUGUUUGUGGAACUCCACAGCAACUGUCACAGGCUGCAGAGUCACAAAACCACAGAAAGGUUUAGGUCGGAAGGGACCUGGAGCUCAUCCUGUUCCACCCCCUGCCAUGGACAGGGACACUUUCCACUAUCCCAGGUUGCUCCAAGCCCCAUCCAGUCUGGCCUUUGACACUUCCAGGGAUCCAGCUGCUCUGGGCACCCUUUGCCAGGGCCUCUCCAUUCCCCGAUUAAAGAAUUCAUCCUAACACUUCAUCUAACCCUGCCCUCUGUCACUUUAACACUGUUCCCCUAUGUCCUGUCCCUAUCCACCCAUAUAGAAAGUCUCUCUCUCUUUUUUAUAAGCUCCUUUAUGCACUGGAAGGGGCUCUGAGGUCUCCCUUGAGACUUCUCCAGCUCUCUCAGCUUGGCUGUAGAGCACAGGGGCUCCAGCCCUGGGAGCAUCUUUUUGGCAAUGAAAAACUCCAGGGCAACUGGAUGGCAGCAGGGACUGUGUGCUUCAGAAGCCAGAAAGAAUUGUCCCUCACAGCAUUUCCCUGCUUGUUUUGUCAAGUCAGAUUUCAUCUCAGGGCACAGAAACAGCCCCUCCAUGUCAAAGGGGCGUGUGGGGGUUAAUUUAAUCCACUUCUGCCUGUCUGGCAAACAGCUUCCAAAGUGGAUGUCAGGAACCCUAUGGCAAGGAGCACUGAACACCCACCCCAGGCAGUUCCUUCCUUCAGACUGCUCUCAGAUGCUGACUUAGGGUUUCCUCUCUCAUAUUUUAGCC